UACAGAGGUCUCAAGCGUUGUUCGGAUUCAUUGGGCGUAAAGGGCGCGUAGGCUGCGGGGCAAGUCGGGUGUGAAAUCUCAGAGCUCAACUCUGAAACUGCACUCGAUACUGCUUUGCUUGAGGACUGGAGAGGAGAGUGGAAUUCCUGGUGUAGCGGUGAAAUGCGCAGAUAUCAGGAAGAACACCCGUGGCGAAGGCGGCUCUCUGGUACGUGACUGACGCUGAGACGCGAAAGCGUGGGGAGCAAACAGG
rnacentral:rRNA from 1 species